rnacentral:lncRNA from 1 species
CUGGGUUUAGCACACCUCAAUAUGUUACUAGAGACGCCUGCUCUGUCCGAGUAGUGCAAGUCUCUCAAAAUCCCAUAAGCAAAUGCAAAAAGAAAAAAAUAAAAUUUAAAUAAUUGGAAAUAUAAGAAAAUAAUUCAUUAACUAAUUGAAAUGAUAAAUUAGAAAUACUAAUCAACAUAUAUAGGAAAAUAAAAAUUUAAAAUAGAGCAUGGUUAAAAU